rnacentral:rRNA from 1 species
GAGGAAUAUUGGUCAAUGGGCGAGAGCCUGAACCAGCCAAGUCGCGUGAAGGAUGACUGUCUUAUGGAUUGUAAACUUCUUUUAUACGGGAACAACAAGAGCCACGUGUGGCUCCCUGCAUGUACCGUAUGAAUAAGCAUCGGCUAACUCCGUGCCAGCAGCCGCGGUAAUACGGAGGAUGCGAGCGUUAUCCGGAUUUAUUGGGUUUAAAGGGUGCGUAGGCGGCCUGUUAAGUCAGCGGUGAAAUCUAGGAGCUUAACUCCUAAAUUGCCAUUGAUACUGGCGGGCUUGAGUGUAGAUGAGGUAGGCGGAAUGCGUGGUGUAGCGGUGGAAUGCAUAGAUAUCACGCAGAACUCCGAUUGCGAAGGCAGCUUACUAAGGUACAACUGACGCUGAAGCACGAAAGCGUGGGUAUCAAACAGGAUUAGAUACCCUGGUAGUCCACGCAGUAAACGAUGAUAACUGGGCGUAUGCGAUAUACAGUAUGCUCCUAAGCGAAAGCGUUAAGUUAUCCACCUGGGGAGUACGCCGGCAACGGUG